GUCUUUUCAGCUCUGCUGAAUUGCGGAUUCCAGUUCCUGGCGUGCCUGAGCUCCAAACCAAAAUGAGGCAUGGCAGGAUGAAGGCAAGACAGGAGGUUUUAUUCACUUUGGCCAAAAGUGGAUGUCGGAAUGAACGAACUCUCAAAUCAGACAUAAAACAGUAGAGUAGAAGAAAACCUCAGUGUUUCCUGUGCCUGCAAACUCUACGCUUGAAAAGAACUGAGAGUUAAAUAUCUUUACUGCAUUAAAUGGUCAUCUGGAGUUUUGGAGUUGGGUGUCAUCUCUAUGCAGAUGAUGCAUAACUCUACUACUCUUUUCCACCUCAUUCCAAGGAAGCUCCCCAGGUCCUGGAUUGGUGUCUGGCAUCUGUGAUGGACUGGAUGAGGGCCAACAAGCUGAGGCUUAAUCCAGACAAGACAGAGGUCCUCCUGUCAGUCGCGACAUUUGGACAUCAAGGAUUCCCACAAUUCUAGAAAUUUGGACAUCAAGGAUUCCCACCAUGAGGCUGAUGGAAGUUCUAGUCCAAAGGUGGGCAUCAAAUUGUGGGAGAUCAAUUUACAACUAAUAUUCAGGAAAUCAGGAUUCAAAUAGUGCUGACUGGAUGAUCCCUGAAUCAGUCACUUUCAGCAUAACCUACAUUGUAGGGUUGUUAAGUAGAGAUAAUGUAGAGGAAGAGAGAUCCAUCUUGAGAUAUCUUAGGAGAAUUAUGUCAUACAUAAGUAGUCAAACCUUUAAUCUACUCACCCCACAAUAACCACAGUUUAAUUGAUUUUCUCAUUCUUGGAUAGAUGUGUAUGUAUUGCUGGUUAACAUAGACACAGAAUCCACACAUACACACACUAUCGUGUAAUUUUUUUGGUGCUGUAUGUCCUUAGAUUCCUCAGACAUAAAACCUUUUGUUCUUAAGACUGGAAUGACACGAUUGCCCUAUAAAUAUCUUUGCUGAAACUUAGAAUCAUAGAACCAUGCAAUCCUAGAGUUGGAAGGACGUCAUCCUUUUGAUUGCUCUUCAUCAUAGUUACGUUGGAAGGCUUUAAAAAAGAGUAAAAUAAAUAAGAAGAGGAAAUAAAUAUUGGCUGAUAUUUCUCAACAUGCUGUUAUCAGCUGAAAACAUUUCUGAUAGGCAGAGGUUUUGUCAGAGCUGCAGUCCUUCACUCUAAUCUGAUUGAAGCAACUCUGCAAAGAAUGACCAGCACUCAGUGGGAUUGUAGGCUAUGAUUCACUUGGAGAUGAUGGGAUGAGAUAACCUUGAUUUACGCAAAGGGGAAGGAUGACCUCUUCUCUGGGGACUUUCCCACUACUCAGAGCAAAUUCUUUUUUCCCUUUUAACUGAUGGGAAAUGCUUAGCUUUUUUAGAGAGAAGAGAAGAGAGGGAGAGGAAUUGUCCACUGAAGCUGAAUCUGAUGGUAUGAGUUGAAGGAUUACAAGAAAAGAUCGUAGACAUUUUUCUACAAGUUUGGCAUUUGGUCAAAGUUAGUCCAAGUGCCUAAAGACAGUGGGGUCAAUUUUGCAAGGCACAGAUAUACUGGUAAUUUGGAAAGUACAGAUAUAUUAUCUCUUAGAAAAUGAUUCUCCUGAUUUAUCAUUCUCAUGAUUUAGCAUUGCUAAAGUGCAUGCUUUACAAAAGAGCAAUUGGCGCACAACCCCCACAAAUAAAGAGGCAACACACAUUAAUGGAUUAACUAUGGGCAACUUUUAUUAAUAUCAUCUAAUUAAACUUUGUAACUUACAGGAAGGACUAAAAUGGGUAAUGAACUUGGCAAUGAACUUGGUGAGGGUAAAGCCAUGGUAGUGACCUUUCGUUCCAUGCCUUGGCUGAUAAGGGAAACAUGACAGAGAAUUAUGUCCCAAUAAUGUAUUGAUGUCAUAUUCUCCAGUUCCUAGGCCAUUUGCGGUCGCCCUCCCCUCCUUUAUUUACAUCUUAGAUGAGGGUUCCCACUCCUGGCCUACACCUGACAUGGGUGCAUUGGGUGUGCACCAAGAUCAAAUCCCUAGCUGUUUUCGCCACAGAUCAGGGGCAAGGAGAGCACAACAUUUUUACUACAGGGUUUGAAUCCUUGUUUGAUCAUGGAAUCCCAAUGGAUGGUUUUGGGCAAGUGACACUCUCUCAGCCUCAGAGGAAGGCAAUGGAAAACAUCUUCUGAACAAAUCUUGCAAAUAAAACCUUGUGAUAGGUUUGCUUUGUUGUUAACAUGGGUCAGAAACAACUUGAAGGCAUGCAACAACAGCAACCGCUUUACAAGUACAGAAGGGCAGGCUCUUGCCCAAGUAUGAAAUUUGACACAAAAGAAACAAUUGAGAAAGUGGAGAACAUGGCAUAUAGUAAAUGUGUUAUUUCAAUUAAAUGUAACAUAGCUCUUGGGAAAGCAAUGGGGAGUACUUAGAGCAGGGGUCCCCAAACUUUUUAAACAGGGAGCCAGUUCACGAUCCUUCGGACCAUUGGAGGGCCGGAGUAUAGCUGGCCACCGAUCAAUAAUUAAUAAUAAUAAUAACAACAACAACAAUAAUAAUAAAAAAGAGACCCUUUGGGCCAUUGAGUUCAAUCCCUUUCUGCCUUUGUGCACCGAAACCACAAGCAAAGCACCCCUGACAGAUGUCCACCCAGCCUCAAUGUUAAUAAUAAUAAUAAUAAUAAUAAUAAUAAUAAUAAUAAUAAAGGGUUGUAAGAGAAGAAGAGACCCCUUGGGUCAUUUAGCCCAACCCCCUUCUGCCCUUGUGCUGUGGGGGCCGGAUAAAUGGCUUUGAUGGGCCGCAUCUGGCCCCUGGGCCUUAGUUUGGGGACCCCUGACUUAGAGUAUGUAAUCUAUUUGUGAACAAGUCAAUAAAAUAAUCCAGCCAAAUGUAUUAACAGGAAAAAAUCAGAAUCCGACAAUUAUUUUUUCUGGUUGUAAAAUCCCCAACCAGCAUGACCAGUGCUCUGCACUUUCACUGUUUUACUGAUGCUCAAACUAGAAGUUAAAAAGAAUGUGUAUUCUUUGUAAUUAAUAAAAUUUCUGUCUCAUAAUGGGGGUUCCUCGGGGUGUUGCAGUAUCUCCAGCAUCAAUCAGAUAACUAAGUUCAUGUUAAACUUCUGAUGACCAGUCACAAAGCCAAGCAUGCUAAAUGCAAGAUACACCAUUGAGAGCAAUCAUAUGCUAUGACAAACAAAUUACUUUCAUCAUUUGAGGGAAGCCAUCUGCUCCAGGUUUUAGUUCAAAAUAUGCUAAGUGUAGCUGUCUAGUCUGACAGUGAAAGAGGCAAAUGUAGAGAUUAAUUUCCAGAAAAGGCAUGUUUAUUUGACUUGGCUUUGGCAUGUAUUUUGGUCUAGUCUGAUGGUUUUAUUUGGCUUUCUCCUCCUUCCUGCUGUUUUGUUUUUCAUUGUCUUUCUUAUUUUAUUUUUAUCGCUGAACAUUUUUAUAAUUAAUUUUGUGGAAACCUCCUUUGAAAGUUUCAUCCCCAAACAGCAUCGAAAUGCUUAAAUCAAUAAGCAGACAAACCAAUUACUGAGGGGUAUCAAUGCUAUUUGCGAUAGGCUACAACUUCAAUGACCCAAGGCCAUUAACUGAUUGGUGAUGGGAAUUGUAGUCCAACGGAUCUGGAAGGUACCAGAUUGUAGCUCUUCUUACAAUUCUGUUCUUCUUGCAGCUUGAUAAGUCUUUCUGAUGUUCUUGUAAUAAUAAAAAAUGUUUAUCAA